CUCAGUACGGCGAGUGAAGCGGCAAAAGCUCAAAUUUGAAAUCUAGCACUUUCAGUGUUCGAGUUGUAAUUUGAAGAAAGUCUCCUUGAAUAGUCCUUUAUCUAUGUUCCUUGGAACAGGACGUCAUAGAGGGUGAGAACCCCGUAUGAUUUUGGAUCCUAUUCUCUGUGGGAGUCUUUCGAAGAGUCGAGUUGUUUGGGAAUGCAGCUCUAAGUGGGUGGUAAAUUCCAUCUAAAGCUAAAUAUUGGCGAGAGACCGAUAGCGAACAAGUACAGUGAUGGAAAGAUGAAAAGAACUCUGAAGAGAGAGUGAAAAAGUACGUGAAAUUGCUGAAAGGGAAGGGCUUGAGGUCAGACUUGGUGUUUAAUGAUUAUCUUCUUUUCUUAAGUUGUGCACUCGUUUUUCACUGGGCCAAUAUCAGUUUUUGUAGUAGAGCACCUCUUGAAAUGUGAUUUCCUUCGGGGAGUGUUAUAGUCUUGAGACGAUCUACUACGGGGACUGAGGACUGCGCGUUAUGCUAGGAUAUUGGCGUAAUGACCUUAAGCCGCCCGUCUUGAACAACGGACCCA
rnacentral:rRNA from 1 species